ensembl:lncRNA LINC01471 long intergenic non-protein coding RNA 1471
AAUCCAGGAUCCAUUUCGUGUGGUCAUCUUGUCUCCCUGGUCCCCUCCAGCCUUUCCUCAUCUUUUGUGACCUGGUCACUCUGGAAGGGCGCUGGCCAGUUAGUCCACAGGAUGGGCCUCCCCUGGGGCUUUUCUGAUGCUUCCUUAUGAUGGCACUGGCAUCCUGAGGGGGAGGACCACAGAGAGGAGGUGCUCCUCAUCACACCACAUGGGGGUCCAUGCACCAGUGCCACUGCUUUCCAGGGCUCUUCACCUUCAUCACUGGUGGAGGUGGCGUCUGCCAAGAAGCAGAAAGUUGAGGCUUAGAAGGUGCACGGCCCUACCUCUUCCGAGGUGCCCCUGCGGGCUGUCUACAGACCAGGCAGCACAUGCCUGAUAGCAGCUGCAUAAGGAAAAGCAGGAGCCAGCUCGUGCACAGUGGCCUCAAGUGUGCACUGGGCAUGUUCUCUGCCUCACCAUCCCUGUGUGACAGAUGAAGCAUGGCAAGCCAGGCUCCAGAGAAGCAUCCUGAGGACCAGUGUUCCUAGGGACCUCAUUCUUCUGACCUCAUUCCUACAACGUUUUGUCACUGCAAAGGAAAUCACCAAGGCCAGCAUGACAGCCCUCAACAGAAGCCAAGGCCAAGUCCUCGAACUUCCUAGUCUGCACAAUGCUUGAGAAGCCUCUGCCUGGGUGCGCAGCCCCACAGCCCAGCCUCUGCAGAGUGGGAGGGGAGCCAGGCCCUGCUUGGGUAGCAUUGCCAUGGCAACCUCUCCCCACGCUGCUCCUCGCUGAGACCCGGGCAUCUGUGGCCAUGGCGACUGGGCCUGCCACUGGCACAUCUGCAUAGCAACCAGAGAGGGUGCCGAGCGCAGCUGGGCCCCGCUCAGGAAAACAGGUACACUCAGAGCUUUUAUCAGUCAUUAAGGAGAAGCUGGGAGCCUCUAUGGGGAGAAAGGACAAAGGAUGCAGACAAAAGACUUGGAACCGCAAGUGGCUAAUAAAUCUAUGACAAGUGCCCAACAUUACCAGCGAUCAUAGAAAUGCAAAUGCAAACAACAAUAAGAUACUUAAAGAAAAACAACAACAACUAGUGCAAUUGGCAAGAGAUGAGGCACAAAAGAGAUAGGACCCAGUGUUGGCGGGGGGUGUAGGGAAUGGGGACUCGAACACCCUGCUGGUCUGAGUGCACAUUCAUGGAACAUUUCUGAGAAGGCAAUUUGCAAUCUGUAUCAAAAGCCUUUAAAAUGCACAUACCUUUUGAACCAAC